UCGAUUUGAGUUUGAUCCUGGCUCAGGACGAACGCUGGCGGCGUGCUUAACACAUGCAAGUGGAGCGACGAACCAGGGCUUGCCCUGGGGCAGAGCCGCGAACGGGUGAGUAACACGUGGGUAACGUGCCCCGAUGACUGGGACAACCCGGGGAAACCCGGGCUAAUACCGGAUAUGCCCCCUCACAUCAGUGAGGUGUGUAAAGGAAGCUUCGGCCUCCGCAUCGGGAUCGGCCCGCGGCGCAUUAGCUUGUUGGUGAGGUAACGGCUCACCAAGGCAACGAUGCGUAGCUGGUCUGAGAGGACGAUCAGCCACACUGGGACUGAGACACGGCCCAGACUCCUACGGGAGGCAGCAGUGGGGAAUCUUGCACAAUGCGCGAAAGCGUGAUGCAGCAACGCCGCGUGCGGGAAGACGGCCUUCGGGUUGUAAACCGCUUUCAGUUGGGACGAAGGUCGAGUGGUUAAUAGCCAUUUCGGCUGACGGUACCUUCACAAGAAGCCCCGGCUAACUACGUGCCAGCAGCCGCGGUAAUACGUAGGGGGCAAGCGUUGUCCGGAAUCAUUGGGCGUAAAGAGCGUGUAGGCGGCCUGAUAAGUCGGUUGUGAAAGUCAAGGNCUCAACCCUUGAAUGCCGACCGAUACUGUCAGGCUAGAGUCCGGAAGAGGCGAGUGGAAUUCCUGGUGUAGCGGUGAAAUGCGCAGAUAUCAGGGGGAACACCUAUGGCGAAGGCAGCUCGCUGGGACGGUACUGACGCUGAGACGCGAAAGCGUGGGGAGCGAACAGGAUUAGAUACCCUGGUAGUCCACGCUGUAAACGAUGGGCACUAGGUGU
rnacentral:rRNA from 1 species